UCUCCGUUGGUGAACCAGCGGAGGGAUCAUUACCGAGUUUACAACUCCCAAACCCAAUGUGAACCAUACCAAACUGUUGCCUCGGCGGGGUCACGCCCCGGGUGCGUCGCAGCCCCGGAACCAGGCGCCCGCUGGAGGGACCAACCAAACUCUUUCUGUAGUCCCCUCGCGGACGUUAUUUUUACAGCUCUGAGCGAAAAUUCAAAAUGAAUCAAAACUUUCAACAACGGAUCUCUUGGUUCUG
rnacentral:misc_RNA from 1 species